rnacentral:lncRNA from 1 species
GAAAACUAUUUCAAGCUUCUUUUAUGAUGUUCAGCUAGAGUUUGUGAACUCGAAGUUCUUCUGUUCUCUGGUAUUGGAGCAGGGGAGGUGUCACAUCCAUUACUGUUCCAUCUGUAUCGUAUUACGUGAAAAAUAGACAUAGAGUUUUGUAUUAGAUAAAAAAUUUGAUCAAUAUUAGGUAGGGGAAAGAUAGAGUAAGUGUGUUUAUAAUAUUUAAUCAUCACUCUAAAAAACUCUCCAUUCUCCUCGUUCUGAAAGAUCAACGAGUACUCCAUUUGUAACAUAAAACUCACUCUAAAAAACUGCACGUUCACCUUACUCUAAAAAACUCUCUAUUCUCCUCGUUGUAAAAGAUUAACAAGCUAGUACUCCAUUUAUAAUAUAAAACUCAUUCUAAAAAACUCCCCAUUCACCUCACUCUAAAAACUCUUCAUUCUCCUCGUUCUAAAAGAUCAAUAAGCUAGUACUCCAUUUGUAACAUAAAACUCACUCUACAAAACUCCCAAUUCACCUCACUCUAAAAAACUCUCUAUUCUCCUCGUUCUAAAGAUCAACAAGUACUCCAUUUGUAACAUAAAACUCAUUUUAAAAGACUCUUCAUUCUCCUCACUCUAAAAUAUCAACAAGCUAGUACUCCAUUUGUAAUAUAAAACUCAUUUUAAAAAACUCCUCAUUCACCUCACUCUAAAAAACUCUCCAUUCUCCUCAUUCUAAAAGAUCAACAAGCUAGUACUCCAUAUGUAACAUAAACUCAUUCUAAAAAAACUCCCCAUUCACCUCACUUUAAAAAACUCUCCAUUCUCCUCAUUCUAAAAGAUCAAUAAGUAUUCCAUUUGUAACACAAAACUCAUUCUAAAAACUCUCCAUUCUCCUUACUCUAAAAGAUCAACAAGCUAGUUCUCCAUCUGUAACAUAAAACUCAUUCUAUAAAACUCACCAUUCAC